rnacentral:tRNA from 1 species
GCUAAUGUAGCUUAAAUUAAUA